rnacentral:rRNA from 1 species
AGAGUUGAUCCUGGCUCAGAACGAACGCUGGCGGCGCGUUUAAGCAUGCAAGUCGAGCGGCAAGGGCCUUCGGGCCCCUAGAGCGGCGGACGGGUGAGUAACACGUGGACAAUCUGCCCCCCGGCCCGGGAUAGCCCAGGGAAACCUGGAUUAAUACCGGAUGAGACGGGACCCGCGAAGGCGGGACCCGGGAAAGGCGCUGCGGCGCCGCCGGGGGAUGAGUCUGCGUCCCAUUAGCUAGACGGCGGGGUAACGGCCCACCGUGGCGACGAUGGGUAGCCGGCCUGAGAGGGUGGACGGCCACAUUGGAACUGAGACACGGUCCAGACUCCUACGGGAGGCAGCAGCUAAGAAUCUUCCGCAAUGGGCGAAAGCCUGACGGAGCGACGCCGCGUGAACGAAGAAGGCCGUGAGGUUGUAAAGUUCUCUUCGGGAGGGGGAACAACCGUGGCAGGGAAUGGCCGCGGGAUGACGUGAAUCCCGGAAUAAGCCCCGGCUAACUACGUGCCAGCCGCAGC